rfam:Ictidomys tridecemlineatus contig027871, whole genome shotgun sequence.
GAUGAUGCAACUUAGUGGUAGAGUUCUUGGCUAGCAUGCAGGAGGAUCUGGGUUUGAUCCCCAGCAUCUCCC